CAGGCUGCUCCGGGGUGCACGGGCCUGCAUAGGCCCGGCGCUGAGAUGGUUGAAGAACCAAACCCGUGAACUUGAUCUGGCUAGUACCAGCGAAAGAAGAGCGCAGCCCUCCAGG
rnacentral:ncRNA from 2 species